rnacentral:ribozyme from 1 species
AUUUGAGAUUGGCAAGGUAAAGGCUGGGUAUGCUACGCAAUACAGAUCCCAGUGUGAUCCACUAGCCUCUGCCCAGCAACUCCUAUCCCUACCUCCUCGUGGUACCGACCGGAAACUACGAGCAACCUUAGGGAAGAUCGGGUAACCAACCCCGGUGGGAACUUUGGUCGUAGGCUGACAGGGAAGGG